rnacentral:rRNA from 1 species
GACGAACGCUGGCGGCGUGCUUAACACAUGCAAGUCGAACGGUAAGGCCCCAGCUUGCUGGGGUACACGAGUGGCGAAAGGGGGAGUAACACGAGGGUGACCUGCCCUGCACUUCGGGAUAAGCCUGGGAAACUGGGGAUAAUACCGGAUAGGACCGCAACGAGUGGGGGGGGUGGAAAGUUUUGGCGGUGGGGGAUGGGCUCGCGGGCUAUCAGCUUGCUGGUGGGGUGAUGGCCGACCAAGGCGGCGACGGGUAGCCGGCCGGAGGGGGUGGACGGCCACAUUGGGACUGCUACACGGCCCAGACUCCUACGGGAGGCAGCAGUGGGGAAUGUUGCACAAUGGGCGGAAGCCUGAUGCAGCGACGCCGCGUGGGGGGUGGCGGCCUUCGGGUUGUAACCUCCUUUCACCAUCGACGAAGGGUUUCUGACGGUAGAUGGAGAAGAAGCACCGGCUAACUACGUG